rnacentral:rRNA from 1 species
AUUGAACGCUGGCGGAAUGCUUUACACAUGCAAGUCGAGCGGCAGCGCGGGGGCAACCCUGGCGGCGAGCGGCGAACGGGUGAGUAACAUAUCGGAACGUACCCAGUCGUGGGGGAUAACUAUCCGAAAGGAUAGCUAAUACCGCAUACGUCCUGAGGGAGAAAGCGGGGGAUCGCAAGACCUCGCGCGAUUGGAGCGGCCGAUAUCGGAUUAGCUAGUUGGUGGGGUAAAGGCUCACCAAGGCGACGAUCCGUAGCGGGUCUGAGAGGACGACCCGCCACACUGGAACUGAGACACGGUCCAGACUCCUACGGGAGGCAGCAGUGGGGAAUUUUGGACAAUGGGGGGCAACCCUGAUCCAGCCAUUCCGCGUGAGUGAAGAAGGCCUCGG